CAGAGGUGGAGAUGGAGGUCGACACAACCCACCAAACAAACCACCGGCACACAGAAAUGUGUAUAAACUUAACAUAGGCUAAGAACUCUCUGAAUUAACACACUUUGCAUGAGGAAGAUGUCAAUCAAUCAGUGUAACCCCGCCUACACAAUCAGCCAGAUCACCUGAGAUAGCUGUGUGGCUGUUGAGACUUUAGGUUAGCAGUUUCCUCCAGAGCUCUUGGACAGCAGACUGCUAAACCAAACUGUGUCAGAAUCCUGUUCCUCUGUUGGGCAGUUCUGUUUUUCAUAGAGGCUGGUGCUGACAAUGGAAAACUGCAAGUGGCUAAUGCAUCGCAUCACACAAAAGCUUCAUCCUGACGGUCUGUUCCCUCCGACCUCUGGUACCAUCUACAUCCUGGGCAGAGACAUCUGGACGCACUUGAGCGCCAUCAGAGUCUGGGAGUCUGUCCUCAACACAACAUCCUCUUCAGCAUAUUCUUCAUCAUAGCACUCCUCCUCCAGUUCAUCUGAAGUGUCCUCUUCCGAUGCCUCACUGUCCUGCAGAGGUACUUCUACUGCCACAGCCACACUGCCACCGAUGAAAGCUGGACUGUACACCAAAAGUGCUGUGGUGAUGUUUUGGUCCAGCUCACGGAUGUGUCUUCUUACUUUAUUUUGAAGAUCCGGUUCACCUGAAAAGAAAACAUCUGACUAUCAGAGAUGCAUCAUAAGUAGAACACCUUUAUGACAUUAUCAAUUUAAAUCAUGGGAAUUACUGGUCAUGAACAUUUACUUACAGUUGUCCUGGAGCAGUAAUCUUAACCCGUCAAGCUGUCCCUCAAGAGAGUUAAGGUGCCGGUGCAUCUCCUCCACAACAAUGUUGAUUUCCUCAUGAAAUCGCAAAGUUAACAUGAUGUAGUAACAGAAGGGUACUCAACCUCCCAACAGAGUUUAUGAACCAAAAUACACUUUAAACAUUACAAAAUAAUUACAAUAUGUACACUCAUCUACUUUUUUCAAUUUCUACAUAUGGUUAAAUCCAAAUGUUGUGUGCAUACUAGACUCUCCCAGGGCCAGAUGAAAUUCUCCCUAACAAGCAUCUCAUCAAGAGAUGGCAGUUGGGUCUUGUAGGCUGUGUCCAGCUGGUCAAUUGCAGACUCCAAUUUCUUUUUUUCUUCUGCAACUUUCCGACGGAUGGUGUGCCUUUUUAUUGGAGUCUAAGUGAAAAACAUGAUUAUAUGCAGUGAUAUUUUGAUGGUUCAUUGUUGUAUUACUGCCACAGAUUAUCAACUCUUUCUAAACAUGACUGAAAAGUCAUUUUCAAGCAUCUAUGAAAUCAAGGUUUUAAAAGUCACACCAGUCUCUCUGUACAGCAUGUGUUUCGGCUGGCGGAUGCUGAGGUACAGAUGCUCAAUUCGGCACUCCAGUGAGCGCUCAUCUACGACAGUGGAGGCGGUGAUGAAAUUGUCAUUAUUUGAGGUAACAAAAAAAGCCAUAAAAUGCCAAAAUACAUGGAGUGGAUUUUGAAAUGCAUGUUUAUGAAGGUUAAAUAUUACCACAUGGCCAGCCUUGGACAUCAGAAAUCCAUUUUUGUAGCGGAGUGUCAUCCACACUCAGCUCUGUACAGAGGGCAUGCAGCUUUUUAAUUUCUUCAUCCAGCCUUUUCUGCGCCAAAAAAAAAAAAAAAAAAUAGAUCCACAAAACAGCACUCAUACUUAUUUUCCAGGUGCCUUAUACAGUAUAUUAAGUACAUUAAUUUAUGGCUUUUCAGGUAUUUUAGAAAUAAAUGAUUUUUAAGACAUACCUUGGUGUACCUCUGUGCCAAUGUCUUGUGGAGGUUUGCCAUCUUUCGAUGGUUCCACAAAACUGCCCACAGGGUAAUUGGCCUGUAAACCAAAACGCACAGUUUCAUUCUUCUAAUCAUUAUUAUUAUUACGGUAUUGCUUUUAUAUGUGUUGUUGUUAUUACCUCCUUUUGACAUGUACUUUGUUGACAUGGCAGCCCUGGACAAAAAACUAUUCACUUAAGUAGUAAACAAUCAGUAUGUAAUGUCAAUACUAUCACAGAAAACAUAGUUUUUUAAAAAUUGAACACAUUUACCACACCUGCUCUACCUCCUCCCCAAUGGUGUUCCCUGCCCCUUCUUGGUUGCGGCCUCCACAUUUCAGCUACAAUUCACAAACACAGUUUCAAGACAAGCACACAUGGAUGAAGAAUUUAAUGCACAAAAUUUGACGCUAACCUUGCAUGUCCAUGAAUGGGCUUUGGCGUGCAUGACUGAAAGGAGGGGUCGCACUGCCUGCAGUGGCUGUGACAUGAAAAACCUAGACAUGUCAGAGAUGCAUUACAGUCAUAAUAUAAUGUGCUUGUUGUAAUUGAAUCAUGUAAAUCAACAGUUUAUAUUACAAAUAUUUCACCUC